ensembl:lncRNA
CACACACACGCCACCCCCGUCCGCCUUCCUCCCGAGCCCCUCAGGUUUUAUUCAAGCACCCGACCGCCCCUCUCCUCCUCCUCCUCCUCCUCCUUCCUCCCCGCCUCGCUGCUCCCCGCGGGUUUUCCGCCCGCCCCCGGCCGGGCCCUGCCGUCCCUCUCCCUCACAGCGCCGCCCUCCGGCGACCUCCCCGCCGCGCCCCGGCCCCGACCCCCGCCGCUCCGUCCCCUCACGGCCCCGCUGCCUCAGCGGGGCCCGGCGGCAGGCGGGGCUCCCCCGCGGUGUGAGCCGCCGGGGAAGUGGCCUCAGGCCGCCCGGGCCGAGGCCGGGAGGCGCUGUCGGGAGGUGGCGGCCCGGCCCGGCCCGGCCCGGCCCGACCCAGCGGGGCUGCGGGUCACCUGCCUUCCCCCCGCCCCGGCCUCGCUGAGGGGAAACAGCGCGGGGAAUCGUCGCUGCUGGGCGUGGAAGAUGCGGAAAGGAACGGGGGUGUCUUCUAAAAGGGUGCAACGUGAAAAGAAGAAGCCUACUGCCAGGAUGCGCUCAGGACCUAGAAGCUGGCUGCAGGGCACCUACACUCAGGACCAGUUAAGGAAAUCCAUCUGCUUUCCAGAAGUAACAUUUGCGUCUGCUCAGCACUCUCUGCUUGUGAGAUCAAAAUGCACCUAG